UAGGAAAAAGAUUUGGCUCAGGUUAUAAAAUUACAAAGUGGUAUCUAUUGAACAGUUCACAUGUUUCCUUUGAGACAAAAAUGUUUCCUAGAUUUGAAACCUGGAUUUCUGUGGAAUUACUAUUUGACGGAAGAAAUAAUCAUUCAAUUAAUUUUUCUGAGGCUGGAAUACAAAAUAAACACUUACUUUAUAUACCAAAAAAUGUAUUUGAACUUUUAUUUGACUGAGGUCUUAUUAUUUUACUAUUUUACUGGCAACGCUGUAAUAGCGCCACUGUUAGUAUUGCAUCAAAUCAGUCAGACAGCCGUGGAUUUGAAAGAGUUACUUCUACACUCAGUAGGACGUCUGUUUGUAAAAAAUUUUAUAUUGGGAACCAAUUAUUGUCUGUGCUUGGUUGGCGUUAUUGUGUAUAAUGAAGUUGGAUAUCAGACAUCUUGAAACUUAAAACUUCUGGAAGGAAUUUUACUGGUGUAUCUAUAUAGAAAACGCUAGCAAUUUCUAUAAAAGGUAUCCUACAUCACAUUCAGUAGUCCUGUUAUACAUCGCACUAGUGCAUUAUUCAGUUUCUGUGGCAAUUGUUCCUCUGGUGGAAAUUUGAAAAAUGCAUUGAAAAGUGGAUAAGCUAUCGAUUUGGCUCCGGAAGUAAUCAAGGCUGAAAGAUCUACAAACAUAAAUUACUCGUGGCGGGCAGUACAUAAUAGACGAGUACCAGAAGAAUAAACUGUUGACUGACAGAAGCAGAAACAUAGCUGCAAAUGUGCUUUAUGAAAAAUAUGGGAGUGCAGUACCCAAGAGUGCAAAAAUGGAGUGCGCAAAAAAAUUAGUUGAUAUUUUCCCACUGUACACAAAUUCGGAAAGUUCUUCAGGGGAUUACGUAUCCUGAAAAUCGACUGACAAUUUUAAAUAGAAUAAGUAAAAUAGAGAUAAACAAUCCUCCUGCCAACCACCUUCAUGACCAGAAUGUUUCGAUAACAUCAGAGGAAAUUAAUCUUACUAAAGAACUCCAAAAUCUGUUUUUAUUUAAUAAUAUUCUUAAGUUUGAAUUAUUGAUAUUUUGGUAUCAGACCAAUUGUCAACAAAAAUCAUGUCAGUUAGGUUUUCUAUUAUUUCUAAUAAACGUUAUUUUUAU
rnacentral:lncRNA from 1 species